rnacentral:tRNA from 1 species
GCCUGGGUGGCUCAGUCGGUUGAGCGUCCGACUUCAGCUCAGGUCAUGAUCUCACAGUUCGUGGGUUUGAGCCCCGCAUCGGGCU